rnacentral:tRNA from 1 species
ACUUAAAUAGCUUAUUUAGAGCAUGAUAUUGAAGAUAUCAAGGAAACUUUUAGUUUUUAGGUA